CCCGCCCUCGGCCGUGGCCGCGUCCUCCGACCCCCAACACCGCGCUGGGCCCCGGCGCUGGGUCGGGAGCGUCUGCGGGGGACACGGAGCGCCCCUGGGCCGCGGGACCGGACUCCGGCUUCAUUGCAGGUGGUAAAAAUUCAGGCUGACCGUGCUGCUUCCUUUGGGUGAGAGAGACGGAUGUCGGAAUGCAGACGUGUCCUCCAGGUGUCCUCUCCCGGAACCAAUUUUCUUCGACUUUGGGUUUGAACGUCAAGAAAAGGACAGCCCACGACAAAUACGGACGUGAAACAUCCGCUGUGGCUGGAUAUGAAUUAUCGAGUCCUAGGACAGAGGAAGAAUCACGGCCGGAACGUCCCAAACUCCACAGACUGCCUCUUUCCUGCACGCGCCACCCAGAUGGAAAACCCCGAAGAGCCUCAACCGUCUUGAUUUUCAAAUCCGCUCUGAUUUACUCUGCUGUAGAAAGAGCACGACAGAGAAUUCAUCUUCUUUGCAGAAUCAGGUGGCGGGUCUGUGGGCUCUUCCCUCUGGCUGGCUGUCAGGAACCAUCCCGUCGGCAGCACUGAUUUGUGGAGAAUCUAAAUUUGAGUUCGCAGGCGUGGUUCUCCCACCCCCGGGUUCCAUGAGGCUGAGACUGUCUGCUUGUUCUGCAAGGGGUCGACGUGUGAAACAAGGUGGUAAAAAAUCAGGCUGGCCGUGCUGCUUCCUUUGGGUGAGAGAGACGGAUGUCGGAAUGCAGACAUGUCCUCCAGGUGUCCUCUCCCAGAACCAAUUUUCUUUGACUUUGAUUUUCAACUUCAAAAAAAGGACAGCCCAAGAUAAAUACGGACGUAGAUGCAGGGGAGUCCCCGGGGGGGGACCCUGUUUCAUACGUGGAAAAUGCGAGUGGGGCUGAUACAAGUCCCCAGCGACUGAACGCCCACACCAGCUGCAGAAUCGACGAGGCUGUCCGUUCCUGGAGAUGCAGAUCACAGAGGUGGCUCCCCUCCCGUCCUGUCAGCUCCUGAGCUGGAUGAAGGACACCUGGACAGGUGCAGGCGGCCCGGCCAAGCAGCACUGCAUGGCUUUCAGGACGGCGGAGGAUCGAGGGACUCGGACGCGGCGAACAGUGAGGCCGUCAGGCAAGACGGACAGCCUUGCGCCAGCUAAGGAGUCAGCAGUGUGCGUAUGUAACAAGCCAUUCCCGCCUCCCCGCCGGCCUCAGGCGACCUCCCACGCGGUGUCACGGAUCCCGGGGAUGUGAAAUCACCCCAGAUCUCACCAGUGCAGCGGCGUGUCACGGUUCGGUGACAUCGUCUGGCUGCAGUGCGGACAGGACGCCUGUGUCUUUCUGGCGUGAAUACGGAGCACGGGGGAGCCCAGCUCUUCCAACAUGUGGUACC